CAAUUGCUUGAACGUAGUAAAUAGUAAAUACAGUCUAAGAAGCACCCAAGACUCCAACAGCUCAGCUCCAAACUUCUGGACUGGCUUGAGAACACAGACUUCAGCGCAGCUGGGGACCUGGAUCCCAGCAGAACUGGCUCCCCUAGGCUCAGUGAGCAACCAGUGAAAUAUACCAGGAAGUAUGAUGUAUCUUGAAGCUUGACACAAAAACCUCUUGGCACAAGUAUCCUGGACAACAUGCAACUGAUGGGCACACCUGGCCGGUCUCAGCUCCAGAUGUUUUCCUUAAUCCCUGGCCUUUCAUCAGGAAU
rnacentral:lncRNA from 1 species